rnacentral:rRNA from 1 species
GGGCCCGCACAAGCAGCGGAGCGUGUUGCUUAAUUCGAUGCAACGCGAAGAACCUUACCUGGUCUUGACAUGCCCGUCAUAGUUUUCCGAAAGGAAUUCGUCGGUUCGGCCGGACGGUGCACAGGUGCUGCAUGGCUGUCGUCAGCUCGUGUCGUGAGAUGUUCGGUUAAGUCCGGCAACGAGCGCAACCCUCGUUCCUAGUUGCCAGCGGGUAAUGCCGGGGACUCUAGGAAGACAAACCUCGUGUAGAGGUGGGAAGGUGGGGACGACGUCAAGUCAGUAUGGCCCUUACGACCAGGGCUGCACACGUGCUACAAUGCCCGGUACAAUGGGAUGCAAUACCGCGAGGUUGAGCCAAUCCAUAAAACCGGGCCCAGUUCGGAUUGGAGUCUGCAACUCGACUCCAUGAAGUUGGAAUCGCUAG